rnacentral:tRNA from 1 species
AGCUCAGUUGGUAGAGCAGUUGACUUUUAAUCAAUUGGUCGCAGGUUCGAAUCCCGCA